GAUGAACGCUGGCGGCGCGCCUAACACAUGCAAGUCGAACGAUUAAAGCACCUUCGGGUGUGUAUAAAGUGGCGAACGGCUGAGUAACACGUGGGCAACCUGCCCCUUUCAUUGGGAUAGCCACGGGAAACCGUGGAUAAUACCGAAUACUUCGAGACUUCCGCAUGGAAGACUCGAGAAAGCUCCGGCGGAGAGGGAUGGGCCCGCGGCCUGUUAGCUUGUUGGUGGGGUAACGGCCUACCAAGGCAAUGAUGGGUAGCUGGGUUGAGAGACCGACCAGCCAGAUUGGGACUGAGACACGGCCCAGACUCCUACGGGAGGCAGCAGUGGGGAAUCUUGCACAAUGGGCGAAAGCCUGAUGCAGCGACGCCGCGUGCGGGAUGAGGGCCUUCGGGUUGUAAACCGCUUUCAGCAGGGACGAGGCGAAAGUGACGGUACCUGCAGAAGAAGCCCCGGCUAACUACGUG
rnacentral:rRNA from 1 species